rnacentral:rRNA from 1 species
UACGUAGGGGGCAAGCGUUAUCCGGAUUUACUAGGUGUAAAGGGAGCGUAGACGGCGAUGCAAGCCAGAUGUGAAAGCCCGGGGCUCAACCCCGGGACUGCAUUUGGAACUGUGUGGCUGGAGUGUCGGAGAGGCAGGCGGAAUUCCUAGUGUAGCGGUGAAAUGCGUAGAUAUUAGGAGGAACACCAGUGGCGAAGGCGGCCUGCUGGACGAUGACUGACGUUGAGGCUCGAAAGCGUGGGGAGCAAACAGG